rnacentral:misc_RNA from 1 species
GAUGAAGAACGUAGUGAAAUGCGAUAAGUAAUGUGAAUUGCAGAAUUCAGUGAAUCAUCGAAUCUUUGAACGCACCUUGCACCCUUUGGCAUUCCGAAGGGUAUGCUCGUUUGAGUGUCAUUGUACUCUCACACUUCUGAUCCUUUGGAUUGGGAGCGGUGGACUUGGGUGUUGCUGCUUUACUGUGGCUCACCUCAAAUGCAUUCGUGCAACUCUUGGUUGGACAUAGUACGGCGUGAUAAGUAUCUUCGCCGGCACCUCGCAAGAGGGUGGCUGAUCAGGAGCUCUGUGCUUUCCAACUGUCUCCAGACAACAACUGACAACUUGACCUCAAAUCGAGUAGGACCACCCGCUGAACUUAAGCAUAUCAAUAAGCGGAGGA